UACAGAGGUCUCAAGCGUUGUUCGGAUUCAUUGGGCGUAAAGGGUGCGUAGGUGGCGCUGUAAGUCGGGUGUGAAAUUUCGGAGCUUAACUCCGAAACUGCAUUCGAUACUGCGUGCUUGAGGACUGGAGAGGAGACUGGAAUUUCAUGGUGUAGCAGGUGAAAUGCGUAGAUAUCAUGAAGGAAGACCAGUGGCGAAGGCGGGUCUCUGGACAGUUCCUGACGCUGAGGCACGAAGGUCAGGGGGAGCAAACGGG
rnacentral:rRNA from 1 species